rnacentral:lncRNA from 1 species
GCAGACCUUCGAUGAUGUGCUAAGAAUGGGGGAGUUCGUAGAAUAGGGAAUCAUGUUGGGAAAAAUAAUGAGUUGCUCGAAAGGCAUUCAGGACAUCUCGUUAAGCUCAGAAGGGAGAAAGAGAAAUAAAAAAGAGAUCCAAAUGACUCUCCUGAUCAACAUUUCCAACCUCGACAUCAUACCCGUGACAUCAUACCCGUGAAUAUCCUCGGCAUCGGAACCAAAAUACGAGCCUCAUACCAUUAGUUUUGAUAAAUUUUCGUUUUCAAUUUUUCUUAAGCAUAUUCAUAAAACAAUUUCAC